UUAGGGAGAUAGCUCAGUUGGUAGAGCAUGAGGCUUUGAAUCUCAAGGCCCUGGGUUUGAACCCCAUGCUGUGCAAAA